rnacentral:rRNA from 1 species
GAUGAACGCUGGCGGCGUGCUUAACACAUGCAAGUCGAGCGAAGCGAUUUUAAGGAAGUUUUCGGAUGGAAUUAAAAAUGACUUAGCGGCGGACGGGUGAGUAACGCGUGGGUAACCUGCCUCAUACAGGGGGAUAACAGUUAGAAAUGACUGCUAAUACCGCAUAAGCGCACAGUGCCACAUGGCACAGUGUGAAAAACUCCGGUGGUAUGAGAUGGACCCGCGUCUGAUUAGGUAGUUGGUGAGGUAAUGGCUCACCAAGCCGACGAUCAGGAGCCGACCUGAGAGGGUGACCGGCCACAUUGGGACUGAGACACGGCCCAAACUCCUACGGGAGGCAGCAGUGGGGAAUAUUGGACAAUGGGGGAAACCUUGAUCCAGCGACGCCGCGUGAGUGAAGAAGUGUUUCGGCAUGUAAAGCUCUAUCAGCAGGGAAGAAAAUGACGGUACCUGACUAAGAAGCCCCGGCUAACUGCGUGCCAGCCGCCGCAGUAA